rnacentral:rRNA from 1 species
UACGGAAGGUCCGGGCGUUAUCCGGAUUUAUUGGGUUUAAAGGGAGCGUAGGCCGCCUGGUAAGCGUGUUGUGAAAUGUCGUUGCUCAACAACGUCACUGCAGCGCGAACUGCCGGGCUUGAGUGUGCGGAAAGCGGGCGGAAUUUGUGGUGUAGCGGUGAAAUGCUUAGAUAUCACGAAGAACUCCGAUUGCGAAGGCAGCUCGCUGUAGCAUUACUGACGCUGAAGCUCGAAGGUGCGGGUAUCGAACAGG